rnacentral:rRNA from 1 species
AUUGAACGCUGGCGGCAGGCUUAACACAUGCAAGUCGAGCGGUAACAGAGAGAAGCUUGCUUCUCUGCUGACGAGCGGCGGACGGGUGAGUAAUGCCUAGGAAUCUGCCUAGUAGUGGGGGAUAACUUGCCGAAAGGUAAGCUAAUACCGCAUACGUCCUACGGGAGAAAGGAGGGGACCUUCGGGCCUUUCGCUAUUAGAUGAGCCUAGGUCGGAUUAGUUAGUUGGUGAGGUAAUGGCUCCCCAAGACCGCGAUCCGUAACUGGUCUGAGAGGAUGAUCCGUCACACUGGAACUGAGACACGGUCCAGACUCCUACGGGAGGCAGCAGUGGGGAAUAUUGGGCAAUGGGGGGAACCCUGAUCCAGCCAUGCCGCGUGUGUGAAGAAGGUCUUAGGAUUGUAAAGCACUUUAAGUUGGGAGGAAGAGCAGUUAACUAAUAUUUGACUGUUUUGACGUUACCGACAGAAUAAGCACCGGCUAACUUCGUGCCAGCCGCCGCAGUAA